ensembl:antisense
GUUGAGCCUUGAUCAGAACACUGUCUUUGCUCCAUGCUUCUCUUUCCCCCAACUCUUUUCUUUUCCAGCCCUCCUUUUCAGGUGAGCUCUGCUCAGCUGUAAGCCACUGGGUAGAGGUGGCACCCAAACAGGCACUCCUCCUGAACAUGGAGGACUUGCUGAGAAAAGCUGCUUUUAUUUUGAGCAUCCAAGGAACAAAUUGAAAGUAAAAGGCAAUUCCGAGUACAGAAAGGGGCACCAUGAGAACAUGAACUUAGCUUGAAAAUGUUACCAAAAAUGGAGUCAUGAUUACUCAUAAUGGAGCAACUUAGCUAGGCAUGUGGAAAAUGCAUGUGAUCAAGACCGAAGGAAGAUGCUGAGACAGCUGGAUUUUAGAUGCCUUCAGAGACCCAAGCAAUGGAAUGCAUGUUGGUCAUCUCCCAGGACUUGAUGUCCUGGGGAAAUCUUCAUUAUCACAUUAAUGUUCAACUGCCUUUUGGGCUAUGUGACCAUCAUGAGGAGUAUGGCAUGUGUUC